rnacentral:rRNA from 1 species
CCUACGGGGGGCAGCAGUAGGGAAUCUUUCACAAUGGGCGAAAGCCUGAUGGAGCAACGCCGCGUGCAGGAUGAAGGCCUUCGGGUUGUAAACUGCUUUUAUAAGCGAGAAAUAUGAUGGUAACUUAUGAAUAAGGAUCGGCUAACUACGUGCCAGCAGCCGCGGUCAUACGUAGGAUCCGAGCAUUAUCCGGAGUGACUGGGUGUAAAGAGUUGCGUAGGUGGCAUAAUAAGUAGCUAGUGAAAUCUGGUGGCUCAACCAUUCAGACUAUUAGCUAAACUGUUAAGCUCGAGACCGUUAGGGGUAACUGGAAUUUCUAGUGUAGGAGUGAAAUCCGUAGAUAUUAGAAGGAACACCGAUAGCGUAGGCAGGUUGCUGGGACGGUUCUGACACUAAGGCACGAAAGCGUAGGGAGCAAACGGGAUUAGAUACCCCUGUAGUC